rnacentral:rRNA from 1 species
AUUGAACGCUGGCGGCAGGCCUAACACAUGCAAGUCGAGCGGAUGAAGGGAGCUUGCUCCUGGAUUCAGCGGCGGACGGGUGAGUAAUGCCUAGGAAUCUGCCUGGUAGUGGGGGAUAACGUCCGGAAACGGGCGCUAAUACCGCAUACGUCCUGAGGGAGAAAGUGGGGGAUCUUCGGACCUCACGCUACCAGAUGAGCCUAGGUCGGAUUAGCUAGUUGGUGGGGUAAAGGCCUACCAAGGCGACGAUCCGUAACUGGUCUGAGAGGAUGAUCAGUCACACUGGAACUGAGACACGGUCCAGACUCCUACGGGAGGCAGCAGUGGGGAAUAUUGGACAAUGGGCGGAAGCCUGAUCCAGCCAUGCCGCGUGUGUGAAGAAGGUCUUCGGAUUGUAAAGCACUUUAAGUUGGGAGGAAGGGCAGUAAGUUAAUACCUUGCUGUUUUGACGUUACCAACAGAAUAAGCACCGGCUAACUUCGUG